GAGUUUGAUUAUGGCUCAGGAUGAACGCUAGCGAAAUGCCUAACACAUGCAAGUCGAACGGAUCUUGCGCUGUACUUGUACAGAGUAAGAUUAGUGGCAAACGAGCGAGUAACGCGUGCUUAACCUGCCCCGAAGAUGGGUAUAACUGCAGAGAUGUAGCUAAUUCCCAAUAUGCUCACGAUGGUGAAAUCCCAAUGUGAGGAAAGAUUUAUCGCUUCGGGAGGGGGGUGCGUCCUAUCAGGUAGUUGGUAAGGUAACGGCUUACCAAGCCUAUGACGGGUAACCGGUCUGAGAUGAUGUCCGGUCGCGAUGGGACUGAGAUACGGCCCAUACCCCUACGGGAGGCAGCAGUGGGGAAUCUUGCACAAUGGACGAAAGUCUGAUGCAGCAAUUUCGCGUGAAGGAUGAAGCAUUACGGUGUGUAAACUUCUUUUUUGGAGGAAGACGAAUG
rnacentral:rRNA from 1 species